AUUCCCCCGAGUCGGCCCGCGGGCUACGGCCGCCUGCGGAGCGCAGGAACCUUCACCUCCCGAGGACAGGCGCCUUCCCCUCGGGACCCGGCUCCCCUGCUGCCUGCGCCGCUCUGUCCCCCUGCCGCUGCCCAAGCCUCCAGCAGGGGCCACCGAGGGCUCCAGGAGCACCCCAGGCCCGUUCUUCUGGCCCACAGCGCCCCUCCUGUGACCCUCAGCGACCCUCCUGUCCUGCCCUCCGGCGGCGCGGCUGUCUGGAGACUCUGCACCGUCGCGGCCUCGCAGCCUCGCAGCCCCGCGCCGGGUGGGGAGGGGAGGGUGGCGUUCCUGAGUCCGCGGAGGAAAGGGUCGCAGCUGCAGUCGCGCCAGCCCUCGGGCCUACAUCCGCUCCGCCGCGACGCGGCUCACAAACUAGGGAGGGGAGAAGGGAAGAAAGACCCGAUUCGGGAACACGGCUUUGUCCCUGGAACUGUACCUCAUGUCCCCUCACUUAAUCCUCCCAAGACCUGUGGGGCGUGUCGUCAUUUUAGGGCUGGAGAUGAGGAAACCGAGGCUCGGAGAGAUGAAGCGUUGUACGGCCACCGAGCGGCUGCUUUGCAACGAAGCCAAAGCCAACGUUUUGUUCUUAGCGGCGGUCGUUUGAGCCACGCCUCACCGCAACGAGUCUGCCAUCAGCCAAGAGGUCACAUCUUUUCUGGAACUCGCUCCCCCCUCACAUCAUGGGAGCAGUCAGUCUACUCUUCCAGUAGAAACUGUUUUGCCACUUUUGGGGGGAAUCUUGAGCUACCAGCUCAUCGCUCAGGUCUUAGAUGACACUUUCCUUGACCCCACCGGGUGCUCCAGCGCCUCUGCUUCCGGUUUUCAUAGCCCUUAUAAUAUCACCUAUUGCAAUUGCCCAUUUCCUUGUCUGUCUCCCUCUGCAGAUGGAGUGAAGGUACCUGAGCGCAGGAACCAUGGUCUUCAUUGCUGCCUCAGCAUUAGCGGAAGUGCCACGGGCCGGCUCCCAGGGGGCCAGAGUUUCCCAGGAACACCAUUGAGUACCACUGAACUAGAGUCUGCAAGUUAAAGUAAGGCAAGAAGGAAAACCGGAAACAACUGUAAAAACCUGACCUUUCGUCACCUUAAUACUGGCCAUCAUUUAUCGAGUGCUUAUUAUGUAACAGACAUUGUUCUCAGU
rnacentral:lncRNA from 1 species